GAGUUUGAUCAUGGCUCAGGACGAACGCUGGCGGCGUGCCUAACACAUGCAAGUCGAACGAGGUUCAGUCAGUAGCAAUACUGACGAAGACCUAGUGGCGAACGGGUGAGUAGCACGUGAGCAACCUGCCCCGAAGACCGGGACAACACCGGGAAACCGGUGCUAAUACCGGAUAGCCCCAUUGAGUCGCAUGGCUCGAUGAGGAAAUGGAUUCCGCUUCGGGAGGGGCUCGCGGCCUAUCAGCUUGUUGGUGAGGUAACGGCUCACCAAGGCUUCGACGGGUAGCUGGUCUGAGAGGACGAUCAGCCACACUGGGACUGAGACACGGCCCAGACUCCUACGGGAGGCAGCAGUGGGGAAUCUUGCACAAUGGGCGAAAGCCUGAUGCAGCAACGCCGCGUGAGGGACGAAGGCUUUCUGAGUUGUAAACCUCUUUCAGCAGGGACGAUUGUGACGGUACCUGCAGAAGAAGCCCCGGCCAACUACGUGCCAGCAGCCGCGGUAAUACGUAGGGGGCAAGCGUUGUCCGGAUUUAUUGGGGCGUAAAGAGCUCGUAGGCGGCUUGGCAAGUCGGAUGUGAA
rnacentral:rRNA from 1 species